rnacentral:rRNA from 1 species
GACGAACGCUGGCGGCGUGCCUAAUACAUGCAAGUAGAACGCUGAAGGAGGAGCUUACUUCUCUGGAUGAGUUGCGAACGGGUGAGUAACGCGUAGGUAACCUGCCUGGUAGCGGGGGAUAACUAUUGGAAACGAUAGCUAAUACCGCAUAAGAGUAGAUGUUGCAUGACAUUUACUUAAAAGGUGCAAUUGCACCACUACCAGAUGGACCUGCGUUGUAUUAGCUAGUUGGUGGGGUAACGGCUUACCAAGGCGACGAUACAUAGCCGACCUGGGAGGGUGAUCGGCCACGCUGGGACUGAGACACGGCCCAGACCACUACGGGAGGCAGCAGUAGGGAAUCUUCGGCAAUGGACGGAAGUCUGACCGAGCAACGCCGCGUGAGUGAAGAAGGUUUUCGGAUCGUAAAGCUCUGUUGUAAGAGAAGAACGAGUGUGAGAGUGGAAAGUUCACACUGUGACGGUAUCUUACCAGAAAGGGACGGCUAACUACGUGCCAGCCGCCGCAGUAA